CUCCUAUCAAGUAUAUCUGUGUUUCACGUUUGAUUCCCUCUUCUUGGACCAUGAUGCAAGGAAAGGAGUAGGACUCAUCCUUAUUGGACAGAGGAACAGACGUUUUACGAGUUUUUGCAACCAUCUUUAAGAAUGGAAAAGAAAGUUCAAGGAAGAUAUAUUUUGUACAUUUACUGUUAAACUGUUUGUAAUCUUGUUUUAAUGUAUUGUCACAAAAAAAGAAUGUUAUUUAAACAUUUGUAAUAUAUUAUACAGUAAAAUAAAAUGGCUAUAUUUG